rnacentral:rRNA from 1 species
UACGAAGGGGGCUAGCGUUGCUCGGAAUUACUGGGCAUAAAGCGCACGUAGGUGGUCUGCUAAGUCAAGUGUGAAAUCCCCCGGCUCAACCGGGGAAUUGCGCUCGAUACUGGCAGGCUCGAGGUUGGUAGGGGUGAGCGGAACUCCAGGUGGAGCGGUGAAAUGCGUAGAUAUCUGGAGGAACACCGGUGGCGAAAGCGGCUCACUGGACCGAAUCUGACACUGAGGUGCGAAAGCUAGGGUAGCAAACGGG